GCCAGGCGUGGUGGUGCGUGCCUGUAGUCCCAGCUGUUUGGGAGGCUGAGGUGGGAGGAUCACUUGAGCCCAGGAGUUCUGGGCUGUAGUGCGUUAUGCCAAUCGGGUGUCUACACUAAGUUCGGCAUCAAUAUGGUGACCUCCUGGGAGCAGGGGGACCACCAGGUUGCCUAAGGAGGUGUGAACAGGCCCAGGUCAGAAAUGGAGCAGGUCAAAACUCCCGUACUGAUCAGUAGUGGGAUCGUGCCUGUGAAUAGCCACUGCACUCCAGCCUAGGCAAUCUAGCGAGACCCCGUCUCU
rnacentral:SRP_RNA from 1 species